rnacentral:rRNA from 1 species
UACAGAGGGUGCGAGCGUUGUCCGGAAUCACUGGGCGUAAAGGGCGCGUAGGUGGCGGGCCAAGUCUGUGGUGAAAGCUCGAUGCUCAACAUCGAGUCGGCCACGGAUACUGGUUCGCUGGAGCACUGUAGAGGCAGAUGGAAUUCCGGGUGUAGCGGUGGAAUGCGUAGAGAUCCGGAAGAACACCGGUGGCGAAGGCGGUCUGCUGGGCAGUUGCUGACACUGAGGCGCGACAGCGUGGGGAGCAAACAGG